AUGCAAUGAUGAGUGAAGUAUAGUCUGACCUGGUAUUGCCAUGGCUUCUGUUUUGGCUCUGACCAGGGCAUGAUCACUUAAUCUUCUCUCUGAGCUA
ensembl:snoRNA SNORD7 small nucleolar RNA, C/D box 7